AACUCAGUGGUAGCUGGGAAAGUUGUUAUUCUCACUUCUAGAGGUGGAGGAAGAGGAUAUCCCUCUGUUCUCCCAGCCCUAAGCUGAAUAACACAUGUUGACCUUACACUGGAUUCUAUCUUUCACUUCCUUUCUACCUUCACCUCCCACCCCCAAUUCUGACUUAGGGAGGUCACAUUAAUCUAUUAUGUACUAUUCUGUUAGCCAUAGUAGUUGAUUCCCUGUUCAGAGUGAACUACCUUGGCUUGGGGUGGGAGAAAAGCCAAAGAAUGAAAGGGAUGCCCAUCGAAGAUAAAUUUCACUUAACUCAGUUUUGAUAAAGGUCCUAGUGUGCCUUUCAGAAUUGUAUUGGGUACCAGAGAAUGCAGUUGUGAUUGACAAACAUAUGUAUGUACAUAUCUAUAGAGUCAGAGAUUGAUUAGCUUUGUAAACUGAAAAUGGAAAUACAAUAGAUAAAUAGAAUUUUUGGAAAAUCUUAACCAGAGACCUCUGAAUCUAACUUCUAUAAAAUACCUAUCUUGUUAAAAGAGAAAUUGAUUGAUUUUUGUCUUUUAUUACUUCAAUUACUACUUGUUGAGCCUAACCUUUGUGAUUUUGAUUAAAUGCAAAAGUUGAAAGGAGCAACUUGUAGCUGUCUUCCCUUUCCUACUUGAUGCUUUUGCAGGAACUUGGGAGUCUGUACUGCCUUUCUUUGUUCCUUCUAUCCUUCAUGAAUGGCUCCAGUUUUACCCCUACUCCAUCCUCUACUCUUACGCUGUUUUGCAUAUUGCUUUAUGCAGAUAUUUCUUAGAAUGGAUUGAGGUCAUGGGCUUACUCCCUGUGUCCCUUUCUAGGCUAUGAUGUCCUAGCACAGUGCCGAGUACAUAGUAAUCCAGUCCCUCAAUUUUGAGCAAAUGAAUGGUGGAGGAGAAGGAGAUGCAAACACCUUAGCAGUCUUAAAACUGAAUGAUGGAAAAUGGUUGCUAGGAUUAUUGAAAGUCAGGAUGCUGAAGAAGGAGCCUAAGUCAGUGAAGCAUAAGCUGUAACCAUGACUACUGAAGUAGGCUCUGCCUCUGAAGUGAAGAAGGACUCUGACCAGUUAGGAGCAGGCGCAACCAAGGAGAAACCUAAAGAAGUAGCAGAAAACCAGCAGAAUAAGUCAGCUGAUCCAGAGGAAGAAGAAGGUUCCCAGCCAUCUCCUACAGCUGAAAGCCAAAGUAGUGUGCGCUUCCAGAAGAGACAGAAGGAGCCAUCUGAGAGAAGGGGUAUUUCCCGAUUCAUACCCCCAUGGCUUAAGAAACAAAGGUCAUAUACCUUAGUCGUGGCCAAAGAUGGAGGAGAUAAAAAAGAGCCUACCCAAGCUGUUGUGGAAGAACAGGUCUUUGAUAAAGAGGAACCUCUUCCAGAAGAAGAGAGACAGGCCAAGGGUGAUGCUGAAGAAAUGACUCAAAGGAAGCAACUGGAGAUUAAGGUUGAAAGCAAGGAAGAAAAACCUUCUGUGAGCAGAGCUGAGACACAGCCUGAUGAAUUAGUAAGUAAGGAGAGAGAAGAGGAGAAGGUAAAGGAAUUACAAGAAGACAAAUCAGAAGGAGCAACAGCAUCAAAAAGAGUGACCAAGGAAGUGCAGACCAAUGAGCUAAAAGCAGAGAAGGCCUCUCAAAAAGCCACCAAGAAGACCAAAACUGUCCAGUGUAAAGUGAUCCUCUUAGAUGGCACUGAAUACAGCUGUGACCUGGAGAAACAUGCUAAGGGACAAGUGUUAUUUGACAAAGUAUGUGAACACCUCAAUCUCUUGGAGAAGGACUACUUUGGACUUAUGUUCCAGGAAAAUCCUGAGCAGAAAAACUGGCUAGAUUCCGCAAAAAAAAUACAGAGACAACUGCGAAAUCUUCCCUGGCUGUUCACUUUUAAUGUGAAGUUUUAUCCUCCUGAUCCUUCUCAGUUGACUGAAGAUAUCACCAGAUACUUGUUGUGCCUUCAGCUCCGGCAGGACAUUGCCUCUGGCCACCUGCCCUGCUCCAUUGCAACUCAUGCCCUCCUGGGAUCCUACACACUGCAGGCUGAACUUGGAGACUAUGACCCAGAAGUGCAUAGCAACAUUGACCUCAGUGAAUACCAGUUUGCUCCCACACAGACUAAGGAGCUGGAAGAGAAGGUGAUAGAGCUGCAUAAAACCCACAGGGGCUUAUCUCCAGCACAAGCUGAUUCUCAGUUCAUAGAAAAUGCAAAGAGACUUUCCAUGUAUGGUGUUGACCUACAUCAUGCCAAGGACUCAGAAGGCGUGGACAUCAAGCUGGGUGUGUGUGCUAAUGGCCUCCUCAUUUACAAAGACAGACUGAGAAUCAAUCGUUUUGCUUGGCCAAAAAUCUUGAAGAUUUCCUAUAAGCGCAGUAACUUCUACAUUAAAGUCAGGCCUGCAGAGAUGGAACAGUUCGAGAGCACCAUUGGAUUCAAACUGCCAAACCACCGGGCAGCGAAAAGGCUAUGGAAAGUGUGUGUGGAGCAUCACACUUUCUACAGGCUUGUGUCUCCAGAGCAGCCACCAAAGGCCAAGUUCCUGACCUUGGGGUCCAAAUUCCGCUACAGUGGCCGCACCCAAGCACAGACCCGCCAGGCAAGCACCCUCAUAGAUAGGCCAGCACCACAGUUUGAGCGCACAUCUAGUAAACGGGUCUCCAGGAGUCUUGAUGGAGCUCCAAUUGGUGUUGUGGACCAAAGUCUUGUGAAGGAUUUUCCUGUCUCUGCUGGGGAGAUUUCAGCAUAUGGCCCUGGAGUUGUCAGCAUUGCCAUGGUACAAGAUGGGGAUGGCAGGAGGGAAGUGAGAAGCCCAACUAAAGCCCCACAUUUGCAACUCAUUGAAGGAAAGACUGUUUCCAUGUACCCACCUUCACCACUCUUCCACCGUGUUUCAUCAUUUUCACCAAACCUACUGCCAGUCCCUGAAAUGGACUUGCUUUCAGACAUUUCAGAGGAAGACCCCUUUGGGGAGGCUGAGCAGAUCACCCUAGACAGCUUAGAGCUCCUUUCCACAGGUGAAACAUCAGAGCAAGGGGACUCUGAAGUUGCCAUACCUGAUUCAGUCUUGGAUCCUACUGUAGUCCCUCCUUGGCCUGACUGUCCUUCUCCCAUCCAUGAGAAGACUCCUAAAGCGGCUGACCAUGAUGAUUCUGAGUGUAGUUACUUCUCCUUCAGUUUCUACAAAUGUUUCCCCUCUGGCUUCCCCUCAAUUCUUGAUGAAGAUGGGUAUCUUGCUUUCCCCAGCCUCCCCAAGGUCUGGGUCUCCUUCCUCCCCGCUGGUGUUCAGCACUAUGUCCCCAUCACUUCCCCGUCAUUCAUUCCUUCCCUUAUCCUCAUCUUUGGGCUACUUCUCUCUGCUUCUCAGUCGGUUCCUUUUUCUCUCACCUUCUCCCUUCCUCUGGCUCUAUCCCUCUGCUAUCUGGAGGCUAAAGCCACCUCCUUUAAUGUUGCUUCUGACUGUGACUUGAAUGACAAAACAGAGGAAGAAGAAGCAGUUGCUGGUACUACUACAUAAGCUUGAAUUUGUGGAGUCAACAAAUCUAUCCUUUAUCUUCAACCUUUCCUAAUAUAGAGUGUAAACAUGUGCAUAAAUUUCAUUGAUUAUCCUCAACAUAGUAUUAUCUGCACAUUUUCACAUAUACUAUGUUUUAGUGCAUGAGAAAUAGGUGUAGACAGUUCUCUAUUGAUAUCUGUUGACCAGGUCCACACUUUGCUAGUUGAGAGCAAAAUUACAGGGUUAUUUUAUAAAUAUCUAGAUCAUACUAGAUUUUUAACAAAAGGAGUGGGCGUGGAGGGAAACCUGUGUUGCCCUUAACAAUCAUACUGGGUCUCUCCAUUUUACAGACAGGUGUUAACUGCUAUUCAUUUAGGAUGGAAACUUUUUGUUUUGUUAUAGAGUAGAACUUAGGAUGAUGCAGUGGACAUUAACUGUAAUUGAUGUGUAUUAGUAGAACUCUUAGUAUUGUUAUUUCUCUUGUUAGAAAUCCAAGCUCAUCCUUGAAUUUAUGAGGAGGAUGAAUGUUCCUUUACUCCUGACAUUUGUUAGUCUAAUCUCAGAAACUCCUUAUCUCCCUAUUAGUGUAGCAUUUGGGGACCAGAUGAAUUUUAACCAUAUUUUCCCCCAACUCUACAUUAUGUAUUUAUAUAAAAAAGUGACUGUCAGGUCUUUUGUAAGGAAGAACUGUUAUCUUUAACAAAUGUGUAUAAAAAAUGAAACAUGGCUUUUUCAAAAUUUAGAUUUAUAACACUGGGAUUAUGCCUCUUAGUGCUCUUUUAUUUGAAAUUAGGUGUCUGGUUUGAGGAUUUUUACCCCUAUAUAAUCCAAUUUUUUUCAAGUUUACUAUCUCUGAACUACUAAGUCAGUGUUAAUAUGUGUAGUAGGUUUUUGAUUGUUUUGCUACAUGUGGCCUGGUGAUUUAGUGUCUUAUUCUUUGAGUUCCAUCAAUACAUAGAGUAAAUCACAAAAUUUAGAGUAAACCUAAAGAAAAAUGUGAAGAUAAUACAAUGAGUAUGCAUUGUAGGAGAAGCCACAAUUGUUAAAAAGUUUACCUGAGGAAUACCAAAGAUCAACAUUUUAGAGAUUUAAGUGUUGACCAAGGAAUUGGAAGAUGGUUCUUAACAGAUUAUUGAAUGGCUGUGUCUUGAGCUCCCUGCUUAACCUCACAAAAAUACUAUGAAUAGUAAAAGUAAGCAUUUUGAACUCUCAGAUUUGACACUAUGUUCCCAGUAAAGAAGGAAAGGAAUAUAUGUUAUGAAUUAACAUGUAAAGCUUAAAAUGAUCUUCUUUUGAUAUCAGAACCAAGAUUUUUCAUUCUCACUUUUCUUUUCCUUGAGUUAAAAUUCUGUCCGUAUUUAUGUUAGUUUUAAACUUCCAAAUUCAUUUUUUGGGUCAUUAGAUAUUGAGAAAUGUCUGACUAUGAAAAAUUGUUUUUGUUUAAAUAAUUUUAUGAAAGAAAAGUGGCUAUAUUUCAAAGAUUAUUUUUCAAUACCCACCAUUUUAAUAUGAAAGUAGUUGAAUAAACCAGUUUUCUUCCCAAGGAAAGAAAUCCAUAUAAAAAAAUGAAUACUAGGGUGAAAAUUUGUUCCCUGAUACAUAGCUAAAGACAAAUAUUAUACCUUGGCCUAUCACUAGUUGAUUUAGACAUUUCAAAUUAGAACAGAUUGAAUUAUGCCAUUUUUGCACUCUCGUAUUUUCAUUCAUGAGUAAAAAUUCAAAAGCAGAGCACAAUCUAGGGACUGAGAAAGAGCGAAGCUUCCCUUCUCCAUUCCACCUUUGCAAAGGAUCAUUUCCGUCAUUUGUACAACACUGUAGGUGAAGAAAGAACAAAGUGGCUUAAUAUUCUGCAUCUUCUGAGGGCCAGACAAUAAAGGUGAAGAUGGAAGAAGAGGAAACACAGCUGAAGGAGGACCUGGAUAAGGCCCAGGAGGACAUACUGAAACAUCAGGCUAGCAUUAGUGAACUCAAGCGCAAUUUUAUGGAAUCCACACCUGAGCCGCGCCCUAAUGAAUGGGAAAAACGACGUAUCACACCUCUGUCCCUACAGACACAAGGG